GCAGGAUUAAGAGGAGAGAUAAAACCUUGUAAAGCGUCCAUGAAAUCUGGCCGUCUCAUUUGUUCAACAAGAAACUUCAUCUGUACCUGGUAAAUAACCACAUUCAGGUUUUGAAAACACUAACUGCAUGUAAACGAAGACCUACACAGAGAGGAAGAACGGUUAUAGCUUAAAGACAAGACCACUUAGAGGUGCCAAAAAUGAAGCUAUACCUGUAACAUCUUCCCGAUGGCUGCUUAUGGAUCCUUCUUUUCAGAAUCCGAUUGAUACCAUAAGGUGGUGUCAGGAACCAUGCAUGAAGAACUGAGCUUUUGAAGAGGAACUUUGAAUACAGCGUGUUUUCCUAAAUGGAUUGCCAUGCUGAAUUUUCUCAGUUGGAAGAGGCUGCAGCUUCCAAGGACAGCAUUAAGUUUUCAAUGUGUCUUUAGCUACUAAAACAGUUUUACAAAGAAGUAA